rnacentral:lncRNA from 1 species
AUGACACACCAGAGACAUGCCACACAACAGACACGCCAGACACACACACACCCCAUACAACAGACACUCGAGACAGACACACACACAACAAACACCCCAGACACACACACACCCCUAUACAACAGACACCCCAGACACACACACACACCCCUAUACAACAGACACCCCAGACACACGCCCCUAUACAACAGACACCCCAGACACACAUGCACACACCCCUAUGCAACAGACACCCCAGACACACAUGCACACACCCCUAUACAACAGACACCCCAGACACACACACACACCCUAUACACAGACACCCGACUCACGCCACAUGACACACCAGAGACAUGCCAUACAACAGACAUGCCAGACACACACACAUGCCCCCAUACAACAGACACCCCAGGUACACACCCACACAACAGACACUCCAGACACAUAUGCACACACCUACCCUUAUACAACAGACAUACCAGACACAUGCACACACCCACCCCUAUACAACAGACACCCCAGACAUACACACCCCUAUAUAACAGACAUCCCAGACACACAUGCUCCAUGACACACCAGACACACAUGCCACACAACAAACACACCACACAACAGGCACACACACACCACAUACCACCGUAUACACACACCACACAACAGACAUACCACAUACACAGACAUCCACACACCAGACACACCACACACACACCUGCCACACAACAGACGCACCACACAACAGAUACACCACACAACAGACACACUCACACACCACCCCAUACACAGACCACACAACAGACACAUCACAUCCACAAACACACCACUCCAUAUACCACACAACAGACACACACCACACACAUACAUCACACACACCACACAACAGACACACACACACACCAUCCCAUACACACACCUCACACACCACCCCAUAUACACACACUACACAACAGACACACACCACACACCACCACAAAUACACACCACACACCACCCCAUACACACACACUACACAACAGAUACACACCACACAGCACCCCAUAUGCACACCACACAUACACACCAUACAAUAGACACACAUCACACACACCCAUAUAUACACACUACACAACAGACACACCACACACAGACACACACACACACCAUACACCACCCAAUACACACAGCACACAAUAG